AAAAACCUGUUUAAACUAGAAGGCAGGAGAAUCCCCGUUUGUCAGGGAUAAUAGAGUGAGUCGUUGUUUUUGGGUGAACCUCAUAUCUUCUUUGAUAUGUGGUUCAGUAAAUGAUGAUACAUCU